GUGGAGGCUUUUCCGUGGAGGCUUUUCCGUGGAGGCUGUUGUAUGAGCCAAGAAAUUGAGGUAAAAGAGAGCUCUUUUACCUGGUGUUUGGGCUGAGCAAUUCUGCUCUACAUGCGUCUUCAGCGGUAAUCUACCGUAAAUAGUUUUUUGGAGCAAGAAGAUGACAAUACCAGGCAGCAUCCUCCUUACCAUUAUAGUCCAUCCGCAUUGUUUUCUGUCGGCACAGAAGUUCAUCUGUCAUUAAUCAGUUUGGAUGGAGGUUUGUGGACAUCUGGAAUCUACAGCUGACCCUUACAAGGCUGUGGGAAAAUUUAUUACAGCAAGCAAAUCUUGGUAUCUACUAUAAAUGUUAAGGUAAG